rnacentral:lncRNA from 1 species
AUCGGCUUGCGUUCGUGGCCAUCUAAGAAUGGAACGAUAUGAGAUCUUACAACAACAUGAUCUAAGAGCGACGCCACUUACAGCAUGAUCUGAGAGGGCAGCGUCAUACCCAAUUCGAAGCGUCAUCUCCGACAACACGACGCAAUAUUGAUGGCUCUGAUUAGAUCCAACAUCAAAGAUGAUGGGUUUAGAAAAUGAUGGGUUCAAAUGGUGCUAUGCUGUGGUGGUGAUUUUACGAUUUGGUGUGGUGUGUGUGGUGUUUUUGCAAUUGGUGGUGUGUGGUGGUGGUUGCAGCGUAGGUGUGUGGUUUGUGGUGAGGUUUUUCACAUUGUUGUAGUGUGUUGCGGUUGCAAUUGUGUGUGUAUGGUUGUUGUGGUGUGUGGUGGUUGUGGCGAUGGUAUGAAGAUCGUGAAUGGGUUGGAGAUGUUUGUGACUAAUUAUUCUGUCGAUUGUGACUAAUAACGAAUGUGUGACCUAAAAAAUGUGAUAGUAAUUCACAAUUUAUAAAGUUGUGAUCGAGAAAUAACUUGUGGCCAAUUAGUUUUGAUAAUUUGUGAUCGAAAAAUAAAUUGUAAC